rnacentral:rRNA from 1 species
AGCCGCGGUAAUACGUAGGUGGCAAGCGUUGUCCGGAAUUAUUGGGCGUAAAGCGCGCGCAGGCGGUUUCUUAAGUCUGAUGUGAAAGCCCCCGGCUCAACCGGGGAGGGUCAUUGGAAACUGGGGAACUUGAGUGCAGAAGAGGAGAGUGGAAUUCCACGUGUAGCGGUGAAAUGCGUAGAGAUGUGGAGGAACACCAGUGGCGAAGGCGACUCUCUGGUCUGUAACUGACGCUGAGGCGCGAAAGCGUGGGGAGCGAACAGGAUUAGAUACCCUGGUAGUCCACGCCGUAAACGAUGAGUGCUAAGUGUUAGAGGGUUUCCGCCCUUUAGUGCUGCAGCAAACGCAUUAAGCACUCCGCCUGGGGAGUACGGUCGCAAGACUGAAACUCAAAGGAAUUGACGGGGGCCCGCACAAGCGGUGGAGCAUGUGGUUUAAUUCGAAGCAACGCGAAGAACCUUACCAGGUCUUGACAUCCUCUGACAACCCUAGAGAUAGGGCUUCCCCUUCGGGGGCAGAGUGACAGGUGGUGCAUGGUUGUCGUCAGCUCGUGUCGUGAGAUGUUGGGUUAAGUCCCGCAACGAGCGCAACCCUUGAUCUUAGUUGCCAGCAUUCAGUUGGGCACUCUAAGGUGACUGCCGGUGACAAACCGGAGGAAGGUGGGGAUGACGUCAAAUCAUCAUGCCCCUUAUGACCUGGGCUACACACGUGCUACAAUGGGCAGAACAAAGGGCAGCGAAGCCGCGAGGCUAAGCCAAUCCCACAAAUCUGUUCUCAGUUCGGAUCGCAGUCUGCAACUCGACUGCGUGAAGCUGGAAUCGCUAGUAAUCGCGGAUCAGCAUGCCGCGGUGAAUACG